rnacentral:rRNA from 1 species
UACGUAGGGGGCAAGCGUUAUCCGGAUUUACUGGGUGUAAAGGGAGUGUAGACGGCACUGCAAGUCAGAUGUGAAAGCCCGGGGCUCAACCCCGGGACUGCAUUUGAAACUGCCGUGCUGGAGUGCAGGAGAGGAAAGUGGAAUUCCUAGUGUAGCGGUGAAAUGCGUAGAUAUUAGGAAGAACACCAGUGGCGAAGGCGGCUUUCUGGACUGUAACUGACGUUGAGGCUCGAAAGCGUGGGGAGCAAAC